rnacentral:rRNA from 1 species
GACGAGCGCUGGCGGCGUGCCUAAUACAUGCAAGUUGAGCGAUGAAGAUUGGUGCUUGCACCAAUUUGAAGAGCAGCGAACGGGUGAGUAACGCGUGGGGAAUCUGCCUUUGAGCGGGGGACAACAUUUGGAAACGAAUGCUAAUACCGCAUAACAACUUUAAACAUAAGUUUUAAGUUUGAAAGAUGCAAUUGCAUCACUCAAAGAUGAUCCCGCGUUGUAUUAGCUAGUUGGUGAGGUAAAGGCUCACCAAGGCGAUGGUACAUAGCCGACCUGAGAGGGUGAUCGGCCACAUUGGGACUGAGACACGGCCCAAACUCCUACGGGAGGCAGCAGUAGGGAAUCUUCGGCAAAGGACGAAAGUCUGACCGAGCAACGCCGCGUGAGUGAAGAAGGUUUUCGGAUCGUAAAACUCUGUUGGUAGAGAAGAACGUUGGUGAGAGUGGAAAGCUCAUCAAGUGACGGUAACUACCCAGAAAGGGACGGCUAACUACGU